AUGGACUUCAAAUGUUGGUUCAAAUUCAAAAUUUGCCUCAAAUUUGAAUUCUACCACAAAUUUGACAUCAAAGUACAAAAUAGCAUUUAG
rnacentral:rRNA from 1 species